rnacentral:tRNA from 1 species
GGAGCUGGGGCUCAGCGGUAGAGCACUUGCCUGGCAUGUGUGAGGCACUGGGUUCGAUUCUCAGCACCA